rnacentral:miRNA from 15 species
CAGUGCUUCGGCAGUGCAGCCC